rnacentral:rRNA from 1 species
GACGAACGCUGGCGGCGUGCUUAACACAUGCAAGUCGAACGGAAAGGCCCUGCUUUUGUGGGGUGCUCGAGUGGCGAACGGGUGAGUAACACGUGAGUAACCUGCCCUUGACUUUGGGAUAACUUCAGGAAACUGGGGCUAAUACCGGAUAGGAGCUCCUGCUGCAUGGUGGUGGUUGGAAAGUUUCGGCGGUUGGGGAUGGACUCGCGGCUUAUCAGCUUGUUGGUUGGGUAGUGGCUUACCAAGGCUUUGACGGGUAGCCGGCCUGAGAGGGUGAACGGCGAAAUGGGGACGGAGAUACGGACCAGAAGAGAACGGGAGGCAGCAGUGGGGAAUAUUGCACAAUGGGAGGAAGCGGGAUGAAGAAAAGCCGCGUGCGGGAUGACGGCAUUCGGGUUGUAAACAGCUGUAGACUGUGACGAAGCGUGAGUGACGGUAAUGGGUAAAGAAGCACCGGCUAACUACGUG